UUUGAAAGAGAAGGAUUUAUUUUGCUUAUUGAGGAGGUAGAAAAAUUGCCCGAAGCCUGAUUCUCGUUGUCCAACAAUGGUGGCAUUCAUUUUCAAUAGAAUAACUACAUCAACAUUACCUCUUAUGAUCUGGGAUAGUGUCAGACAUGUGACAGGGGUUGUCUACUGCACAUAAUCUCUGCUUGAAGCGUCAGAGAGACCCACUUUCAGAGUCACAGAGAACCAAGAUAACACACCUCCUACUCACCAUGUCCCUCCCCCAGGUACUGUCACUUUGAGCCAAUCUUACAUAAGCUUGGGGAAAAUGCUAGAGCCAUCACAGUGGGGAAUGCCUGUUCCCUAGUCAUCUGGCCUUUAUGACAGGCAACAAGAUAAAUAAGUUACUUAACAAAAUAAUGUUGGGCAAAGUUAAGUGUGUACAAGGGCUAGAAAAACAGGGCUCUGAGGAAGAAAUCAUGCACAGAACAAGUAAGUCAGCCAAGCUUAGGAAGAAAUAUGGAUUGAAACAUCCUGGCAGAGAAGUUUGAACAAGGAGCAAAGAUGCUGAGAAGUUGUCUCAAAAAUAGUUACCCCGGGAGGCUGUACAAGAAAAAGGGAAAGUCAUCAGAGCCGGGGGAAGGAAAAUUUCUGAACUUUUCUUCUGAGUUGAACAAUGUGUAUCGCAAACGCUCAUUUCAUAUUUGCUGGAGGCAGCCAGGCGGUUUUGAAAGGCACUAACCGUGCUGUCGGAGCCCCAGGUUGAAGCCCAGCUCGGCCUUCCUGCUGAGGUACCUGAUGGGAGCCAGCGGUUUGCUGAGCCUCUCAGGGCUGCGGUCGCCAACUGUAGAAGGCAAGUCACGCUGCUUUUUGAAGAAGUGCUUUGAAGAACCGGGGCUGCAGAGUAAAGACACCAUGGAUAUUGGCUCCUACUGUUAAUGAUGAAUUGCAUGUGUAUGUGGUGAUGAUAUUGAAGAAAACUGUGGUAGCUAGAUACAUAAUUGAAUAAUUGCUCUUUCCUUGUAGCUGUAUUUCCUUGGAACGGCAGAUUCGAAGGGUCGUGUGAGAAAUAUUUACAUGCUUUGGUUUGUCAAGACAGAAGUGGUUCUCCUAGCAGGUUUGCAUUUGUUUAGAUCUGGGUUUCUCAAUCCCAGCUCUGUUGACGUUUUGGACGAGAUGCUUCUUUGCUGUGGGGGGCUGUCCUGUGUAUUGCAAGAUGUUUAACAGCAUCCCUGGCCUCUACUCUCUAGAUGCCAGAAGCACAUCCCAUCUCAAUCAGACAAUCAAAA
rnacentral:lncRNA from 1 species